rnacentral:lncRNA from 12 species
GGGGGGGGGGGGGGGGGGGGGGGGGGGGGGGAAUGAAGACCCUGAUGGUAAGUGCAGUGUUGGCGCGGCNGACUGGCGGCCGGGAGGCGCACAAAAUGAAGACCCUGAUGCGCCACGGGCUGGCCGUCUGCCUGGCGCUCACCACCAUGUGCACCAGCUUGUUGCUCAUGUACGGCGGCAUCGGCAUCGGCGGGGGCCGCCCGGAGCCGCGGCGGCGGCAGGGGGGGGGGGGGGGGGGGGGGGGGGGGGGGGGGGGGGGGGGGGGGGGGGGGGGGGGGGGGGGGGGGGGGGGGGGGGGGGGGGGGGGGG